rnacentral:lncRNA from 1 species
AGAAGGUAAAACAAAUAAGAAAAAAUUUAUCCCAGAACUCAACAAAUCUAUGCAUGUGAUAUUAGGCUUCUUAUGAAGCUAGUAGGAUGGCAAAAACGGGGUAUGCAUUCACUAAUUCGUUCACCUUCUAUUUACUGAACUAUGUGUUAAGGUUUAAUGGGAGGAACCUGAGUGAGAAGACAAUAUAAAGGUAAGAAUGACAUUGAAUUCUGUCUUCAGGGUAAUAGAUGAAAUUAUAAAGUAAUCUAUUCAAGUGGGUGAAAAUUCACGUGGUCACAAGCAUUUUCUAUCCAUUGGCAGGUAAACAAAAAUAAGAUACAUUAAGGAACAAGAUUUCAAAACAAACCCUCAAAAUUAACCAUAGGCACACAUUCACUCUUCCACUAUUCUGUACUCAAACAUGGAGAAGAUCAAAAGUAUCGCAUUCUCUGUGUGCAUUUUAAUUUACUUUUGGUAAUAACAUAAUGCUGAUGAAAUCGCUCUAUUUUUCAUAAAAGUCAUAUUUUUCCAUAAGAACCAUCAAAAAAUUGCUUUAAGAUGCCAUUAAGUGCUUACUACAGCAGCACAUAUACUAAAAUUGGAAUGAUACAAAGAAGAUUAGCAUGGCCCCUGUGCAAAGAUGACACAAAUUCAUGAAGCGUUCCCUAUUUCAAAAAAGAAAAAAAAGCUUUUAAAGAUCUCAAUUUUUGGCCGGGCACACUGGCUAACCCCUGUAAUCCCAGCACUUUGGGAGGUCGAGGCGGGCAGAUCAUUUGAGGUCAGGAGUUCAAAACCAGCCUGGCCAACAUGGUGAAACUGCGUCUCUACUAAAAAU